rnacentral:rRNA from 1 species
GACGAACCGUGCGAACGUUGUUCGGAAUCACUGGGCUUAAAGGGCGCGUAGGCGGUGUGUCAAGUCAGGCGUGAAAGCCCCGGGCUCAACCUGGGAACCGCGCUUGAGACUGGCACGCUCGAGUUCGGGAGAGGAUGGUGGAAUUCCCAGUGUAGAGGUGAAAUUCGUAGAUAUUGGGAAGAACACCGAUGGCGAAGGCAGCCAUCUGGACCGACACUGACGCUGAGGCGCGAAAGCGUGGGGAGCAAACAGG